rnacentral:rRNA from 1 species
GAUGAACGCUGGCGGUAUGCUUAACACAUGCAAGUCGAACGGACUCUUCGGAGUUAGUGGCGGACGGGUGAGUAACGCGUGAGAAUCUGGCUUUGGGUUCGGGACAACCACUGGAAACGGUGGCUAAUACCGGAUGUGCCGAGAGGUAAAAGAGAAAUUGCCUGAAGAUGAGCUCGCGUCUGAUUAGCUAGUUGGUGAGGUAAAGGCUCACCAAGGCAGCGAUCAGUAGCUGGUCUGAGAGGAUGACCAGCCACACUGGGACUGAGACACGGCCCAGACUCCUACGGGAGACAGGAGUGGGGAAUUUUCCGCAGUGGGCGAAAGCCUGACGGAGCAAUACCGCGUGAGGGAAGAAGGCUCUUGGGUUGUAAACCUCUUUUCUUAGGGAAGAACAAAAUGACGGUACCUAAGGAAUCAGCAUCGGCUAACUCCGUG